rnacentral:lncRNA from 1 species
GUGUGCGCCUGAGGCUGUUGGCUGCGGUCUUGAAACGGGCUCUGGGAGCUUCCUCUGCGCGGUCGGCCCUGGCUGAGGCGUCCCGGGCUGCGCGCGGGGCUCGGCGCUGCGCAGUGUCCGGUGUCCUCUCGGUCCGGAGCUUCUCCAGAGGAGGAGCGGCUCGUGCGCCCCCAGACCUCCGGUACUGGGAGACUCGGGCCCUCCUGUAAGAGACCUGAGCGCGGAGCGUUAUGGGCACCCGGUGAAUGAGCAAAUGGCAGGGAAAACCGUGCAGCCCCAUGGACUGCGGGCUCUUCCUUCACGACUAGCAAAAGCUUUGACACCCUUUCUCCUGCGUACGCGUGUCUGUGUGCGUGUAAGCUGUGGCUGGGUGCGGGGGGCUGUGUACGUGUCUGUGUGUGGUGUGUGUGGAGUGUUUGAGGCAGGUGUGUGGUGUUUCAGGUGUGUGUGCAUGUGUGGUGUUUGAGGUGUGUGUGUGUGUUUUUGUAGUGUUUGAGGGAUAUGUGUGUGUGGUGUUUGAGGUGGGUGUGUGGUGUUUGAGGGGUGUGUGUGUGUGGUUGAGGGGUGUGUUUGGUGUUUGAGGGGUGUGUGUGGUUGAGGUGUAUGGUGGUUGAGGUGUGUGUAGUGUUUGAGGCACGUAUGUGUGUGGUGUUGGGUGUGUGUGGUGUUAGAGGUGUGGCGUAUGUGUGUUUGCGGUGGUUGAGGUGUGUGUGUGUGUCUGGUGUUUAGGGUGUGUCUGUUGUGUGCGUGUGGUGGUGGAGGCGUGGUGUGGUGUGGAAUGUGUGUCUGGGGUCCAGUCUGGCCUGUUGCAGGGUUACGCUGCUGGGGAAAAACUCAUCUGAGGACAACGUGAUUGGGUCCUCGCUCCCUCGUUGGGCAGCCUUGGACUUAACCUUUUUGAUCUUGAAGGAAAACACAAUAUGUCACCUCCAAAUAUAUUUCCUUGACACGGUUCAAGACAGUUACUCAGAAGGACUGGAAAUAGAAGAAUAGCUGAAAAGCUGUCUUUUGUGGGGGAGAUUUGCAUCUGUGGAGAGAAUCUACACUGAUGCGGCCAGGCCUCCUCUGAGGCCCUCCUUGCCUGAUCUGGGAAGAGUAACAGUCUGACGCCUUUAAAGGCCUGAAGGGAACAUUCACCAUCUGUUCUCUCUCAGGGCUGCUACCUGUGAGGUUUCAUCUGUAGAACAAGGCCACCUUUGCUAGCCAGGCCUCCUCUGCUCUCCCUCCUGUAACCGGUCUUGCCACUGGUCACCUGAUUUUCCACCAUAAACUGUGGCCAUACUUUGAGCCCAUGUUCUUUCUGUAACCUCAAGAUGGUAUAUAAGCUUCCGAACCCCAUUGGGAGGUUGGGGUCAUCACUCUGGUUCUCCCUGUGUGCAUGAAUAAAUCUGUAUGCCUUUUUUCUUACUAACCUGGCUUUUGUCAGUUGAUUUUCUGUGAACUCAGAAUGCAGAAAAGUUUUUCUCUAGGCUCCUACAGUUUUGGUGCAGUCGGUAGGAUAACUAAAGUCACUCUCCUGGGAGCCUCCGUCAGGGGAACCCAGGAGCCGACAAGCUGGCAGAAAGAAGGGUAAGAAGGUCUUAGCAGCCAGGCUCCCGGCCUCUCUGGAAUCUUGUCAAGCCGACGGUAAAAAUGUCUGUUUACCUUGUUUUCCUCUUCAAAGUUUUAAUGAGAGAAAUGUAUUUAUGUGAUUAGUUUUGUAUUCAUAUUGUUUGAUUGCUUUUUUUCCCCAGAAAUAGUCGUCUUUCAUUCUUGUCUUUCUGUGUUUUUCUGUCAUAAAGAGGGUAGAACACAGGCCUAAAACCCCUGUAAACCCCGUCUUGGGGCCGUCCUGCAGGCUAGUCAGUUUUGCAGCUCUGAUCGGAUGCGUCUAGUUAGACAGACUUUGCUGUGGGUCCCUGAACUGAAAACUGGAUGAGAUUCUCCUCUCUUUUGAUGUCCUUGAAAGCUUGAGUUGUGAGCGAGUGGGAAUGAUGCAGGCCAGGCAGACCCCAGAGUGGAGCUUAGCCAGUGAGGGUUUUGGCUUUGCCCAGGAAAGAAUUCAAAGACAAGCCAGAGGUAGAAGAAAACAGCUUUAUUGAACAGGUGGCGUUAGAGCUCUGUGACUGCUCCUGCAGAGCAGGGCCACCCCGUAGGCUGAGAGUAGCAGCUCAGGGCAGUUUUGCAGUCACAUUUAUACGCACUUUUGAUUGCAUGUAGAUUAAAGGAUGGUUUAUGCAGAAGUUUCUAGGGAAGGAGUAGUCAUCAUUGGGUCAUUGCCAUGGAAAGGGGUGGCAACUCCUGGGUGUUGCCAUGGCAAUGGUAAACUGACAUGGCACAGUGGCGGGCAUAUCUGACUGAAAGCUGCUAUUGCCCCAACCCUGUUUUAGCCAAUCCUCAACUGGGUCAACUAAGUCCCACCUCCUACCUCAGGAGCACUCUCUUGGCCUCUGCCAAUCCGAGGUAGUGACUCGCAGGUCACAUUUUGUGGUCAGUCUGAAAAUGGUUGGGAACCCAAGACAUUUAAUAUUUUAAGCAGCACCGUUUUUGUUCUGAAUGUGUCAAGCUUUUAGUUUGUCUUAAGAAGUCCCUGCCAGGCGAGCUGUCAGAGCCCCGGCACUGGGAGUGGUGGUCAACUUGCGGGUUGGUAAAAAGAGUUUACCGACAAUAGGUUUGAAAAAGGAAAGUUUGGCCGGGCAUAGUGGCUCAUGCUUGUACUCUCAGCACUUUGGAAGUCCAAGGUGGGUGGAUCACCUGAGGUCAGGAGUUUGAGACCAGCCUGGCCAACAUGGAGAAACCCUGUCUCUACUGAAAGUAUAAAACUUAGCCAGGUGUGGUGGUGCGUGGCUGUAAUCCCAGCUACUUGGAAGGCUGAGGCAGGAGAAUUGCUUGAACCUGGGAGGCGGAGGUUGCAGUGAGCUGAGACAGAGCAAGACUGUCUCAAAAAAAAAAAGAAAAAAGAAAGUUUGCCGGGCACGGUGGCUCACGCCUGUAAUCCCAGCACUUUGGGAUGCUGAGGCAGGUGGAUCACCUGAGGGCAGGAGUUCAAGACCAGCCUGGCCAACAUGAUGAAACCCCAUCUCUACUAAAAAUACAAAAAAUUAGCUGGGCAUGGUGUCGGGAGCCUGUAUUCCCAGCUACUUGGGAGGCUGAGGCAGGAGAAUCGCUUGAACCUGGGAGAUGGAGGUUGUGGUGAGCUGAGAUCAUACCAUUGCACUCCAGCCUGGGCAACAAGAGUGAAACUCCAUCUCAAAAAAAAAAAAAAGAAAAAAAAAGAAAAGAAAGAAAGUUUAUUAGAAUGCUGCAGAAGAGUGCAAUGAGGUGCCUCAGCAAGAGGACUGAGUACGCCGGGUGGAUUUCUCCUUAAGGGCAUUUAUAGGCCUUAAAGUGGAGGCUUAACAGUAAUUUGGACCAUAUUAGCCACGUAAGUCAUGAUAAAUGAUUACAUUUAUAGUAAUUUUGGUGCCUUAAUGUCAGCGACGGUUGUACAGUGAGUUUCGUCAUGGUAUUCUGGAGACACAUAGAAAUUAUAGUUACUUACACGUUUUUUGGGGGAAGAAAUCUGGAACCAGAUGCCUGCUUUAGAUAAUAGGGAGGUUUAGUUACUUUUGAUUUUCCCCAGAUAAGGAGUUUUGCCUCGGAGGGCCUGUUUGAUGUUUGAUGGUCGCCAGGUGGUUUUUGCUCUCCUCAGGCCCAUCCAUAAGGGGCUUUUGUCAUCCCAAUGUUUGUUGCCUGGUCAGUCCUCAGAAAGCCCAAUCCCAACAGGCCUACCCUGUGUUACAGGUUAAUGGGUCUGUGACUGGCAGCCCCUGACAGAUUGUGUGUUACUGGAGGCACUGUAUGUACAAACACGUUCCUUAACUGUCUCUGGGAACAAGAGUCUUUUGCUGUCUUUGCCUAUUCCUGGGAGUGAAUUUUGGGGGCAUCAUUGGAACCUCCUCUUCUAUGCCCUCUCUAAACCUGGAAAAUAAUCUUUUGGGCUUUCCAUGAAGGGGCUUCUUGGAUUGAGUUGCUAUUGGAAUAAAUACAUCAUUGGAAAUUCUGAUUGUCAAUAGCCAAAAGAUGAAUCCUUUACAUUAGAAAGAUCCCUAAAUUAAAAAAAAAAAAAGAUUUUAGAGGUCUCUCAUUCUAAACAAUUGCCUUAUUUGUAUUUGUGGGGAGAUUAAAGGAAAGACACAUAAUAAUGUUGUGGCUAGCCUUAGAAAUCCUCUUCACAAAAUUAAAGAGCAAAAAUCUGACCUGUAACAAGUUAAAAUCCUUUGUGCGCGCAAACCAUUGCUUUGGAUCCCUGCAGGAUUCACAAUGAAGACUGCUGCAUCUUGGAAACUACUUAAAAUUCUGUACUUUCACUACCAUGGCCUGGGUUCAAUUCCCAAUAGAGGAACCAGUCCCUUUUGGUUUGAUAUUUGUGUGACUUUUGAAUUCUUUCUUUUGUUUUUUUUUUGGAGACGGAGUCUUGCUCUGUCGCCCAGGCUGGAGUGCAGUGGCAUGAUCUUGGCUCACUGCACCCUCUGCCUCCUGGGUUUAAGCAAUUCUCCUGCCUCAGCCUCUGGAGUAGCUGGGAUUACAGGUGUGAGCCACCACGCCCGGCUGAUUUUUUUGUGUGUGUGUAUUUUUAGUAGAGAUGGGGUUUCACCAUGUUGGCCAGGCUGGUCUCGAACUCCUGACCUCGUGAUCCUCCCGCCUUGGCCUCCCAGAGUGCUGGGAUUACAGGUGUGAGCCACCACGCCCAGCUAAUUUUCUUUUUUUUUCUUUUUUUUUUUUGUAUUUUUAGUAGACAUGGGGUUUCACCGUGUUGGCCAGGCUGGUCUCGAACUCCUGACCUUGUGAUCCGGCUGCCUCGGCCUCCCAAAGUGCUGGGAUUACCAGCGUGAGCCACGCACCCAGCCAACUUUUGACUUUGUGCGGAACUCAUUUGUUGUUGACCCUUUCCCCCUCCACUGGCAGCUUUUGAUUUCCUUUCUUUGAGCUCUUUGGGGUGGCUCUGGAUGUCAUCAGGACUGCUUUGCGCCUCUUUGGAGAUGGCUUAUGUGUCCUUGGUUAAGUCCAUAGCUUUAGUUAAGGCUUAUUGGUUUUGGUGAGUCACUUGGGAGGUACCUUUGGUUUUAAAAAAAAAGGUCUCAAAGCCAUGGCUAUCAGCUGUUGGUCUCAGCUAAAAUCUGAUAAUAAGAUAUUUGAAAGGAUUUUAAAAAAGAGCUCUGUGGUCAGAAGUUGGCUUAAUUAAAAACAGGUGAGCUGAUCUUCAAGCCAUGUAUCUACAGCCUUUUCUGCUUUUGGACCCUGUUUCUGGGAAUUUUUUUUUCAGGUGACUGAAACCCCUUUAAAUUGUGUGUUUGGUCCUUCUGUUUGGUUCCUUUGUUGGUAUAAUUUUGAUGAGAAAAAUGUAAAAUUGUAUUGGCCUUUUAGAACCUUAACAUUUUUCCAAAUUGGCUCCUCUAAGGAUUGCAGUCCCAUUUACUUCUACCCCUCCGUGCUCCUCCAUCCCCUUUGCCAUCUUUGGUACCUAAUGAAGGGAUCUACAAGGGACUUCUGAUGACUUAGAGACCCCUUGGGGAACGCAAAGAAAGGUGCCACGCGCCCCGCUUUUGUCUUCCUUAUGGGGCCUGAGGAGUCGUGGGUAGCUUCCUCUCGGGUCUAAAGCUUGGCUGUCUUUGGCACUGUGUCACUGGAUCUCUUUGGCUUUGGGGGUACCAGGGAUUACGUUGCACUGUGAGACAGUGCAUGACCUGAGUGUGUGUGAUGGCCGGCAGGUCACUGGCGAGGGCUGCCUCACAGUUUUGGAGGUGGCUGAAAGCAGUUGUAGUGAAUGGUUGUUCCUGCAGUGGCUGCUUGUUUCUCUGCAUGUUUAGAUGAGAAAGGCACAAUCUGAACACUUGGAGACUAUGGAAGCACUUGGCGUCAAAGGCUGAGACUCCGUGGGCUGAUUGCUGUGGGUCUCCCACCAGCCUCAGGGGAAUGUCUUCAUAGUGAGGUACACUGUGGAAACACUGUAUGGCUUUGUCUCAUAUAUAUCUCUUUUUAGAGGGAACUCAGCAUUCAGUGUAAAUGUGGGAUCCUUGAUUUUAAAAGAUCUAGAUGCUCUGCCUUCCAGCUGCACCUGUUUUUCACAUAUUUAAAUAUUAGGUCCUCCAAACUGCAAAUGCUUUUUUGGCCAUGUUCAUUAAUGAGCUCUGUCCUGAGCCCAGUGGUCUAGUUCAAAAAUGGAGAAUAAAUUAAUAGCCACAUAUUUAAAUAACAUUGUUGUCCUUAUAAAAUCCUGUGGUGAAUUUCUAUGACUUUUUGUUACCUCAGCAUCCAUUUAAAAUCUUCCUUUAACAUACUAAAUCAAAGCUUAAACUUUCUCCCUGUGGAAUUGCUUGAACCAAGGAGGCAGAGGUUGCAGUGAGUCAAGAUCGUGCCGUUGCACUCCAACCUGGGCGACAGAGCAAGACUCCGUCUUGAAAAAAUUCAGUAAAUAAAAAUAAUUUUUUUUUCUCUGUGCUUCAAGAUGUAAAUUUGUUGCCUUGUUUUCUCUAAAACUUGGUAAGGGCUUUGGCCGUGUGAGACAGAUAAAUUUUACCUUGUUCCAUUUACAGAGGCACAAUUUUAAGUAUCCUUUUAAACUAGUGAUUUUUACCCGAUUCGUGGCUAAAAUCUUAAAACUAAAGCUAUAAAAUCUUGAUUUGUGUCUGUAUUUUUAUGUGUACAUGCCUGUUUGUAUAUUAUGUACAUAGUAGCAAAUUGACGUAUAAAUAAAUAAGUGCUCAUGAAUGAUGUAACUAAACCCAGAUGCUUUUCUAGUUCAUGUGACUAGUAAUCUUUGGCAAAUAAACUUAGUUUUAAAAUUGUUGCUGCUGGGUGCAGUGGCUCACACCUGUAAUCCCAGCACUUUGGGAGGCUGAGGCGGGCAAAUCACGAGGUCAAGAGAUCGAGACCAUCCUGGCCAACAUGGUGAAACCCCGUCUCUACUAAAAAUACAAAAAUUAGCCAGGCGUGGUGGCAUGCGCCUGUAGUCCUAGCUACUCAGGAGGCUGAGGCAGGAGAAUCACUUGAACCUGGGAGGUAGAGGUUGCAGUGAGCCGAGACUGCACUACUGCACUCUAGCCUGGGUGACAGAGUGAGAC